GACGAACGCUGGCGGCGUGCUUAACACAUGCAAGUCGAACGGAAAGGCCCUGCUUUUGUGGGGUGCUCGAGUGGCGAACAGGUGAGUAACACAUGAGUAACCUGCCCUUGACUUUGGGAUAACUUCAGGAAACUGGGGCUAAUACCGGAUAGGAGCUCCUGCUGCAUGGUGGUGGUUGGUAAGUUUCGGCGGUUGGGGCUGGACUCGCGGCUUAUCAGCUUGUUGGUGGGGUAGUGGAUUACCAAGGGUUUGAGGGGUAGCCGGCCUGGGAGGGUGACCGGCGUCAUUGGGCCUGAGAGACGGACCAGACGCCUACGGGCGGCAGCAGUGGGGAAUAUUGCACAAUGGGCGGAAGCCUGAUGCAGCAACGCCGCGUGCGGGAUGACGGCCUUCGGGGUGUAAACCGCUUUCGCCUGAGACGAAGCGUGAGUGACGGUAAUGGGUAAAGAAGCAACGGCUAACUACGUG
rnacentral:rRNA from 1 species